AGAGUUUGAUCCUGGCUCAGGACGAACGCUGGCGGCGUGCUUAACACAUGCAAGUCGUGCGGAAAGGCCCUUUCGGGGGUACUCGAGCGGCGAACGGGUGAGUAACACGUGAGUAACCUGUCCCUGACUCUGGGAUAAGCCUGGGAAACUGGGUCUAAUACCGGAUGUGACCUGCUGGUGCAUGCUGGCGGGUGGAAAGC
rnacentral:rRNA from 1 species